UUGUUACGACAGUCAUUGUGAAGGAGAAAAGCGCUUUGAUUGCAUCUAAAGGAGAAUCGCCGUUAGCUCUGACUAAUCAUAACGGUUGGUGGAUCGUCGUUCUCGCCUAAACAGUUUGGAACCCGUUACGCCGACGAAGCCGGAAUCUGAUUCGCCAUUUCAUAGGUCGGAUAUUCCAGAAUUUUGAUUACCCUCUCACUACUUAGAAACAACAAGAGGGUAGACGGAUUAAUUUUGUCACCAUCGUGAGAGGCCAGAGAAGAUAAAAUGAAUAUAUCCGCAGUUCUACUUGUCCUUAUUUCUGUGACUACAACAACAUAUGCAAUUACUGGAUUGUACCAAGCUAUCAAGACAUGAAUUGCCUGACGGAACAAACACAUAUACAUCGGUGACCAUACAUGGUUAUGAAAAUGAAAUUUUACAGUAUAUGUAUAUGUGAACAUUUUGGCCGUCAAUAAACUUGAGCAUUGAA
rnacentral:lncRNA from 1 species